AGAGUUUGAUCAGUGGCUACAGGACUACGCUGGCGGCGUGCCUAACACAUGCAAGUCGAACGAAGCAGCAAUGCUUAGUGGCAGACGGGUGAGUAACGCGUAGAUAAUGUGCCCUCUUGCGGGGGAUACCGUUUCGAAAGGAACCGUUAAUACCGCAUAAAGUCCUUAGGAGGCAUCUCUUAGGGACCAAACUUCCGGGGCGGAGGAGCAAUCUGCGUACUAUCAGCUAGUUGGUGAGGUAAUGGCUCACCAAGGCUACGACGGUUAACUGGUCUGAGAGGAUGAUCAGUCACACUGGAACUGAGACACGGUCCAGACUCCUACGGAGGCAGCAGUGAGGAAUAUUGCACAAUGGGCGAAAGCCUGAUGCAGCGACGCCGCGUGGAGGAUGAAGGAUUUCGGUCUGUAAACUCCUGUCAGUAGGGAAGAGAAUGGACGGUACCUACUGAGGAAGCUUCGGCUAACUACGUG
rnacentral:rRNA from 1 species